GGGUUGUGAGGUUAAGCGACUAAGCGUACACGGUGGAUGCCCUGGCAGUCAGAGGCGAUGAAGGACGUGCUAAUCUGCGAUAAGCGUCGGUAAGGUGAUAUGAACCGUUAUAACCGGCGAUUUCCGAAUGGGGAAACCCAGUGUGUUUCGACACACUAUCAUUAACUGAAUCCAUAGGUUAAUGAGGCGAACCGGGGGAACUGAAACAUCUAAGUACCCCGAGGAAAAGAAAUCAACCGAGAUUCCCCCAGUAGCGGCGAGCGAACGGGGAGCAGCCCAGAGCCUGAAUCAGUGUGUGUGUUAGUGGAAGCGUCUGGAAAGGCGCGCGAUACAGGGUGACAGCCCCGUACACAAAAAUGCACAUGCUGUGAGCUCGAUGAGUAGGGCGGGACACGUGGUAUCCUGUCUGAAUAUGGGGGGACCAUCCUCCAAGGCUAAAUACUCCUGACUGACCGAUAGUGAACCAGUACCGUGAGGGAAAGGCGAAAAGAACCCCGGCGAGGGGAGUGAAAAAGAACCUGAAACCGUGUACGUACAAGCAGUGGGAGCACGCUUAGGCGUGUGACUGCGUACCUUUUGUAUAAUGGGUCAGCGACUUAUAUUCUGUAGCAAGGUUAACCGAAUAGGGGAGCCGAAGGGAAACCGAGUCUUAACUGGGCGUUAAGUUGCAGGGUAUAGACCCGAAACCCGGUGAUCUAGCCAUGGGCAGGUUGAAGGUUGGGUAACACUAACUGGAGGACCGAACCGACUAAUGUUGAAAAAUUAGCGGAUGACUUGUGGCUGGGGGUGAAAGGCCAAUCAAACCGGGAGAUAGCUGGUUCUCCCCGAAAGCUAUUUAGGUAGCGCCUCGUGAAUUCAUCUCCGGGGGUAGAGCACUGUUUCGGCAAGGGGGUCAUCCCGACUUACCAACCCGAUGCAAACUGCGAAUACCGGAGAAUGUUAUCACGGGAGACACACGGCGGGUGCUAACGUCCGUCGUGAAGAGGGAAACAACCCAGACCGCCAGCUAAGGUCCCAAAGUCAUGGUUAAGUGGGAAACGAUGUGGGAAGGCCCAGACAGCCAGGAUGUUGGCUUAGAAGCAGCCAUCAUUUAAAGAAAGCGUAAUAGCUCACUGGUCGAGUCGGCCUGCGCGGAAGAUGUAACGGGGCUAAACCAUGCACCGAAGCUGCGGCAGCGACGCUUAUGCGUUGUUGGGUAGGGGAGCGUUCUGUAAGCCUGUGAAGGUGUGCUGUGAGGCAUGCUGGAGGUAUCAGAAGUGCGAAUGCUGACAUAAGUAACGAUAAAGCGGGUGAAAAGCCCGCUCGCCGGAAGACCAAGGGUUCCUGUCCAACGUUAAUCGGGGCAGGGUGAGUCGACCCCUAAGGCGAGGCCGAAAGGCGUAGUCGAUGGGAAACAGGUUAAUAUUCCUGUACUUGGUGUUACUGCGAAGGGGGGACGGAGAAGGCUAUGUUGGCCGGGCGACGGUUGUCCCGGUUUAAGCGUGUAGGCUGGUUUUCCAGGCAAAUCCGGAAAAUCAAGGCUGAGGCGUGAUGACGAGGCACUACGGUGCUGAAGCAACAAAUGCCCUGCUUCCAGGAAAAGCCUCUAAGCAUCAGGUAACAUCAAAUCGUACCCCAAACCGACACAGGUGGUCAGGUAGAGAAUACCAAGGCGCUUGAGAGAACUCGGGUGAAGGAACUAGGCAAAAUGGUGCCGUAACUUCGGGAGAAGGCACGCUGAUAUGUAGGUGAAGUCCCUCGCGGAUGGAGCUGAAAUCAGUCGAAGAUACCAGCUGGCUGCAACUGUUUAUUAAAAACACAGCACUGUGCAAACACGAAAGUGGACGUAUACGGUGUGACGCCUGCCCGGUGCCGGAAGGUUAAUUGAUGGGGUUAGCGCAAGCGAAGCUCUUGAUCGAAGCCCCGGUAAACGGCGGCCGUAACUAUAACGGUCCUAAGGUAGCGAAAUUCCUUGUCGGGUAAGUUCCGACCUGCACGAAUGGCGUAAUGAUGGCCAGGCUGUCUCCACCCGAGACUCAGUGAAAUUGAACUCGCUGUGAAGAUGCAGUGUACCCGCGGCAAGACGGAAAGACCCCGUGAACCUUUACUAUAGCUUGACACUGAACAUUGAGCCUUGAUGUGUAGGAUAGGUGGGAGGCUUUGAAGUGUGGACGCCAGUCUGCAUGGAGCCGACCUUGAAAUACCACCCUUUAAUGUUUGAUGUUCUAACGUUGACCCGUGAUCCGGGUUGCGGACAGUGUCUGGUGGGUAGUUUGACUGGGGCGGUCUCCUCCUAAAGAGUAACGGAGGAGCACGAAGGUUGGCUAAUCCUGGUCGGACAUCAGGAGGUUAGUGCAAUGGCAUAAGCCAGCUUGACUGCGAGCGUGACGGCGCGAGCAGGUGCGAAAGCAGGUCAUAGUGAUCCGGUGGUUCUGAAUGGAAGGGCCAUCGCUCAACGGAUAAAAGGUACUCCGGGGAUAACAGGCUGAUACCGCCCAAGAGUUCAUAUCGACGGCGGUGUUUGGCACCUCGAUGUCGGCUCAUCACAUCCUGGGGCUGAAGUAGGUCCCAAGGGUAUGGCUGUUCGCCAUUUAAAGUGGUACGCGAGCUGGGUUUAGAACGUCGUGAGACAGUUCGGUCCCUAUCUGCCGUGGGCGCUGGAGAACUGAGGGGGGCUGCUCCUAGUACGAGAGGACCGGAGUGGACGCAUCACUGGUGUUCGGGUUGUCAUGCCAAUGGCACUGCCCGGUAGCUAAAUGCGGAAGAGAUAAGUGCUGAAAGCAUCUAAGCACGAAACUUGCCCCGAGAUGAGUUCUCCCUGACUCCUUGAGAGUCCUGAAGGAACGUUGAAGACGACGACGUUGAUAGGCCGGGUGUGUAAGCGCAGCGAUGCGUUGAGCUAACCGGUACUAAUGAACCGUGAGGCUUAACCUUACAACGCCGAAG
rnacentral:rRNA from 1 species